rnacentral:rRNA from 1 species
AGAGUUUGAUCAUGGCUCAGGAUGAACGCUAGCGGCAGGCCUAAUACAUGCAAGUCGUACGGAGGCUUCGGCCUUAGUGGCGCACGGGUGCGUAACGCGUAUGCAACUUACCUUUCACUGGGGAAUAACUCGGGGAAACUCGGGCUAAUACCGCGUAAUAAGAGAUCAGGCAUCUGAUUUUUUUGAAAGCUUCGGCGGUGAAGGAUGGGCAUGCGUGCCAUUAGCUAGAUGGAGAGGUAACGGCUCCCCAUGGCGACGAUGGCUAGGGGUUCUGAGAGGAAGGUCCCCCACACUGGUACUGAGAUACGGACCAGACUCCUACGGGAGGCAGCAGUAAGGAAUAUUGGGCAAUGGACGCGAGUCUGACCCAGCCAUGCCGCGUGUCGGAAGAAUCCCCUCUGGGGUGUAAACGACUUUUCUCAGGGAAGAAAAAGCGCUUGCGAGCGUAACUGACGGUACCUGAGGAAUAAGCACCGGCUAACUACGUGCCAGCAGCCGCGGUAAUAC